rnacentral:rRNA from 1 species
UACGAAGGGGGCUAGCGUUGUUCGGAAUUACUGGGCGUAAAGCGCACGUAGGCGGAUACUUAAGUCAGGGGUGAAAUCCCGGGGCUCAACCCCGGAACUGCCUUUGAUACUGGGUAUCUCGAGUCCGGAAGAGGUGAGUGGAAUUCCGAGUGUAGAGGUGAAAUUCGUAGAUAUUCGGAGGAACACCAGUGGCGAAGGCGGCUCUCUAGUACGGUACUGACGCUGAGACGCGAAAGCGUGGGGAGCGAACAGG